rnacentral:rRNA from 1 species
GAUGAACGCUGGCGGCGUGCCUAAUACAUGCAAGUCGAGCGAACAGACGAGGAGCUUGCUCCUCUGACGUUAGCGGCGGACGGGUGAGUAACACGUGGAUAACCUACCUAUAAGACUGGGAUAACUUCGGGAAACCGGAGCUAAUACCGGAUAAUAUAUUGAACCGCAUGGUUCAAUAGUGAAAGACGGUUUUGCUGUCACUUAUAGAUGGAUCCGCGCCGCAUUAGCUAGUUGGUAAGGUAACGGCUUACCAAGGCAACGAUGCGUAGCCGACCUGAGAGGGUGAUCGGCCACACUGGAACUGAGACACGGUCCAGACUCCUACGGGAGGCAGCAGUAGGGAAUCUUCCGCAAUGGGCGAAAGCCUGACGGAGCAACGCCGCGUGAGUGAUGAAGGUCUUCGGAUCGCAAAACUCUGUUAUUAGGGAAGAACAAAUGUGUAAGUAACUAUGCACGUCUUGACGGCACCUAAUCAGAAAGCCACGGCUAACUACGUG